CGGUUUUACUCUUGUGAUUUGUUGCAUG
rnacentral:misc_RNA from 1 species